UCAAACACAGAACAAACACAAAAGAAGAGGGGAGAGACAAAUCAGAAGGGAACAGUGACAAAGAAGAGGGGAGCGGCCACCAGCGAUAUUUCUUUUCCCUCUUUCAAUAAAACCUAACGUUUCUCUCCUUGAGCCUCUUUCAGUUGGCCAUCGAUCGAAGCAAGCGGCAAGCCCUAAGCCCUAAAUGAUAAUCGUAUGGCUUAAAGACGAAAUCUGAAGAUUGUGUUUAAAUUUCUCUAACCUCUCUCGCCCUUUGUCUAAUCGGAAGGGAAAGUCUUGUUAGUGUUUGCUGGUUCAAUAAGUGAGAAUCUGAAGGAGGAGGAAACCCAGCUCUCUCUCUCCUCUCCUGGUACAAGAAUCAAAGUUGAGAUUCUCAUCAUGCUUUGAUGGUUUGUGGACUUGGAGACUUCCAUUUUUGUGAAGGUACAAGAAUCAAGGUUGCGAUUCUCGUCAUGCUUGGAUGAUUGGUGGACUUGAAGAUUUUCAUUUCUUGUAAAGGUUGGCUUGAAAAGCCAUUUACCUUAUAUAUCAAAAUAUGUAUAUUUGAAUUUAAAUAUGUAAUGUGUAUAUGAGUGCACUCCUUACAAUGUAUUUGACAUGUAUAAGAUGAGACCGGAGGCCAAUGACAUGUAUUUGUAUUCUAUGUAGUUUUGACUUCAUGAUAUAUUAUGAAAAUAUUGAAAAAUGUUAAGUUAUUAUCUCA